AGGACACAUUUCACGCCACACGCGCCCAGCCCGGAGCCAGACGCCCUCUACGGCGCCCCAUUAUUUGUGCAUACUGUUUUUGGCGCCACAGGUGGCGCCAGACACUGCCUGUGGCGCCCAACUGCUUCCUUUCCCGAUUUUGUUCGUUUUAGCUUCAAAUCUUUCACGUUUUGCCCCAAAUUGCUCCCGAAUCAUUCCUACAAGUAAAAAUACUUCAAAUCAAUAUAAUUCAUAGCAUUUAACAUCCCAAAUUCACGAAAUAAGAAUAAGAUAUGAGGCGAUAUACAUCAAAAUAUAUAUACUUUAAGCUAAACAUCAUCUUACAUUUAAUUUUCCACUUGUUUCUUUGUCCAAGUGGUUGCAUCUUGUAUUUCAUUAGUUUAGAUGUUUACUAGAAUGAGUUCCACUUAUCUUGCAGCAGAUUUAUGAACCAACCAUUAAUGUAAUAUUAUCUACUCAAUUUUGUAUGGCUUCCGUCAGCUCUCUUUAGCUGUUGUUUUGGGAUUCACAUUUUGGCUGCAAAACCGCCGUAUAAUUAGGAGUCUUGGCUACUUGAAUACUACUUGUGCUUUUUACUGAAGUUGCAAAAACCUAAAACUAAUGCUUGUAGUCAAAAUCCCAACAAAUGUGCGUGAUGUUACAAGUCAAAACCUUAGGGUAUAGAGUGGAUCAUGCUAAUGACAUGUAUAGUUAUUGGGGCCAAGCACAAGAACAUGCAAAAGUUUGUGAUGUGUCUGUUUUCAGAUUGCACGAGACCUAUAAUAUGUUUAAACUCUUUCACCACAGAAGCUUGUCACCUGCAGCUUCAUGUUGUAUUUUUUAUUCUAUGUUUCUCUCAAGAAUCUAGUUACUUAAAAUUCCUAUCUCUUCAAUUGCACUCUGCUUUUACAACAAAAUGCGAGUAUAGUUACAGCUUUCGUUAACACGUUUAUUAUACUUGUAAGAAAAUAAAUUGGGGAGGAAGAUGAGUCAUGAUGAGUUCUUCAUGGAGACUCACAUCCGGAAGAAGAAGGCACCGACAGAUCCAACUAGAUGGGUCGAGGACCGGGCAGAGACUAUACAUGUAAGUUUCAUAACUACUAUAAAUGUUUAUGAUAUUAUAUAGUUAGUAAUUUUCUAUCUUCUAAAUAAAGGGUCGCUACAAGAUCAACUUGGAGGAGUACACUCAGAGCUUGCCACCGAAUGAGCAAGGCAAGCGACCACCCAUUUCAGACGAAGAAGGGGAGAGGAUAUGGUUGGAUACUGUCGGUGGUCCUAAAAAGGGGAUAGCAUACGAUCUUUCAGAUAAAACAUUUCGGCGCUACAGGGCUGGAUUGCAAGGUAUAGGGACUUCCGCCCAAGGCGAAACGAUUGAUAGUUCGACUAUAACAUGUGUGGAACAGAAGAUCGCAAAGCUGACAACAGAGCUUGAGAGACCAAGGCUAGAGAAAAGAAGAGAUUUGAUACUCUUCAAGUUCAGCUAGAAAGGAGGGACGAACAAGUUGAUACUCUUCAAACUCAGCUAGAAAGAGGACCGAACAAUUUGAUCUCCUUCAAGGUCAGCUGACCAAUCUUCUUGCUAGUGGUGCUUUCCCCAUUCCCCGGUCUCCUCCUCCUUCCCCAUGUGCCGGCGAUGAAGGUCCUAGGAAUGAAGAUGGAGAUGAUGCUACAUAAAAACUC
rnacentral:lncRNA from 1 species